rnacentral:misc_RNA from 1 species
AAGUCGUAACAAGGUUUCCGUAGGUGAACCUGCGGAAGGAUCAUUAUCAUCCAACUUAGUUGAUUGAUUCCAUUCAAUCAUCUAUAACCAACCCGUGAACCGUUUCUUACCUCCAAUUUCAGUGAGAGAUCGUUGCUGUCUUUGCCUGCUGGAAGCCCCCAGUUGGGGGAAAGGUGGUGGGCUUCCAGUGGGAUCUGAUCUGCGAAACGAGUGGGCGCGUAAACUCUGCGCGCCGUCCUCGGUAUCACUGACUUUGGUUGUACUGUCUUUCCUUUCUCCCGUUCCUUUUUUUACCAUUUGAACACAACCACUUUCAAUUUCGUGUGAACUGAAUGUUUCUUCUUUCCUGUUCGUUCAGUCGAGCAGAAGGAGAAAAAAGUAAAAUACGAAACAAUAAGAACAACUCUUAGCAACGGAUAUCUUGGCUCUC